rnacentral:rRNA from 1 species
AUUGAACGCUGGCGGCAUGCUUUACACAUGCAAGUCGAACGGCAGCGCGGGCUUCGGCCUGGCGGCGAGUGGCGAACGGGUGAGUAAUACAUCGGAACGUGCCCAGUAGUGGGGGAUAGCUCGGCGAAAGCCGGAUUAAUACCGCAUACGACCUGAGGGUGAAAGCGGGGGAUCUUCGGACCUCGCGCUAUUGGAGCGGCCGAUGGCAGAUUAGCUAGUUGGUGGGGUAAAGGCCUACCAAGGCGACGAUCUGUAGCUGGUCUGAGAGGACGACCAGCCACACUGGAACUGAGACACGGCCCAGACUCCUGCGGGAGGCAGCAGUGGGGAAUUUUGGACAAUGGGCGAAAGCCUGAUCCAGCAAUGCCGCGUGUGUGAUGAAGGCCUUCGGGUUGUAAAGCACUUUUGGCGGGAACGAAAAGGACUGUGCCAAUACCACGGUUCGAUGACGGUACCCGCAGAAUAAGCACCGGCUAACUACGUG